rnacentral:rRNA from 1 species
UAGGGAAUCUUCCACAAUGGACGCAAGUCUGAUGGAGCAACGCCGCGUGGAUGAAGAAGGUCUUCGGAUCGUAAAAUCCUGUUGUUGAAGAAGAACGGUUGUGAGAGUAACUGCUCAUAGCGUGACGGUAAUCAACCAGAAAGUCACGGCUAACUACGUG